AAGAACAUGUUCAGGGCCUGUGAUGGGUGUGGUUAUGUAAAGAAACAUGCUUCUUUCUGAAGUCAAGUAUCCGUGGUGAGGUAUUUUGAUCCUAGAACAAAGGUGCCUGUAUAGACAACUGAUAUGGGUAUUGUUACAAAGAAUACUCUCAACUUUUUCAGGUCUGCUACUCAACUCUCUUUCAAAGUUCCUUCCUCUAUUUUGCUUCUGUCUAAUGAAUUCAAAACUUCGCUGAAAUUUAUCAAUUGAAAUGAAUUAAAAUACAUAAAACUGAAAUCCUAUACUAUCUAAUACUUCUAACACAUACAACGACAUGGCUGGUCUGCUCCUUCCCUGCGUCAAUACCCCUCCAUCCUACCAUUACAGAGAAACAAAGCUUUCUCCAAAUUAACAACAACGUCAGUCAUACUUGGCCUAUCUUUCGCUUCCAAAUUCACACAACGAAGUGCAGUAUAUGCAACCAGCACCACUGCCUCUGCUUCAUUAAGCUCCGGCGGACCAACCCUAGGGUCCAAAACCUUGACCAAUCCGCC
rnacentral:misc_RNA from 1 species